rnacentral:rRNA from 1 species
GACGAACGCUGGCGGCGUGCUUAACACAUGCAAGUCGAACGGAAAGGCCCCUUUGGGGGUACUCGAGUGGCGAACGGGUGAGUAACACGUGAGUAACCUGCCCUUGACUUCGGGAUAACUUCAGGAAACUGGGGCUAAUACCGGAUAGGAAUCCUUGCUGCAUGGUGGGGGUUGGAAAGCUUCGGCGGUUUUGGAUGGACUGGCGGCUUAUCAGCUUGUUGGUGGGGUAGUGGCUUACCAAGGCUUUGACGGGUAGCCGGCCUGAGAGGGCGACCGGCCACAUUGGGACUGAGAGACGGCCCAGACUCCUACGGGAGGCAGCAGUGGGGAAUAUUGCACAAGGGGCGGAAGCCUGAUGCAGCAACGCCGCGUGCGGGAUGACGGCCUUCGGGUUGGAAACCGCUUUCAGCAGGGGCGAAGCUUGUGGUGACGGUACCUGCAGAAGAAGCACCGGCUAACUACGUG